GAUGACAGAACGACCGCAACACCUGCUCUGCGCUCGUCGCAGCGAGAAAAGUUACCAAAUCCUGAGUCGAACAACCUGGAGAGUCCAAAUUUACGAGCCUACGAAGAACCACUCUUCGUUGCUCGAGAAACGCCACCAUGCCUACAGUGAGUGAGGGCAGGGAUCGAAUCUUCACUGCGCUUGGAAAAACUUAUGGCUUGCAGCUCAAGCAGAGUUGGAGGAUCUGUGUUUUCGUUCUGGGAUUGAGCUCGACGACGUGGUGUUAAACAUUCUAUAUGUUGACCAACCUAUUGGUACAGGUUUCAGCUAUGCAACGGAUGGUACUGAUUUAAGAGAUAAUCAAAUUGACAUUAGCAAUGAUUUGCAUAACUUCUUGCAGUAAAGGAUGUUCUGGGCGCGGAGAAGUCAUUUGCAUCUUUCAGCCACCCGGUAUACGAGGCAUUGAAAGGGGACUGUGUGAAGAAUUCUGAUGAAGGAAAUCCUGCUUUACUUGAUGCGGGAAUCAAACUCUUAAUCUAUGUGGGAGAUGAAGAUCUAAUGUGCGACUGGAUCGGUUAGCGUCACAAUACUCCAAUGCAUGAACAAAUCUCAAUUAAGCUCUUAAUCUGCAUUUUUGCUUGUUCCUAUUUGAACAGGAAAUUUUAGGUGGGUUUUAGAGUUGAAUUGGUCUGGCAAGGAAGGAUUUGCAAGAAGUUUAGUUAUUCAAUUUAUCGUUGAUGAUGAACUAGUAGGAUUAUUGACCAAAUAUGGACCCCUCACUUUCAUGAAGGUUUUUCGAGCUGAUCACAUGGCUCCGAUGGAUCAACCAAAAGCUGCUUUACAUAUGAUACAAAGUUGGAUUGUUAGGGACUUUGACUGACCAUCACUUCAAAUGAUGGCCUUCAUAAUUUCUCAAUUUUUUUUUAUAAAAAGCUUCAUAGAAUUUUUUAUUUUAUUUUAUAAAAAGCUUCAUAGAUUUAUUUUUUUUGUUGAUCUUAGUUAAAGUAGGAUGUAAAUAAAUGUACGACAAGAUCGAGCCUUUAUUGACAAAUUUGUGCAAA